rfam:Glycine max cultivar Williams 82 chromosome 7, whole genome shotgun sequence.
GGUACCGUGGUCUAGUGGUUAGGGUAUUGGACUCUUAAUUCAGUAACCUGAUUUCAAAUAUCUAUGUGACCU